rnacentral:rRNA from 1 species
GACGAACGCUGGCGGCGUGCUUAACACAUGCAAGUCGAACGGUAAGGCCCUUCGGGGUACACGAGUGGCGAACGGGUGAGUAACACGUGGGUGAUCUGCCCUGCACUUCGGGAUAAGCCUGGGAAACUGGGUCUAAUACCGGCUAGGACUCCUGCCUGCAUGGGUGGGGGUGGAAAGCUUUUGCGGUGCGGGAUGGGCCCGCGGCCUAUCAGCUUGUUGGUGGGGUGAUGGCCUACCAAGGCGACGACGGGUAGCCGGCCUGAGAGGGUGACCGGCCACACUGGGACUGAGAUACGGCCCAGACUCCUACGGGAGGCAGCAGUGGGGAAUAUUGCACAAUGGGCGCAAGCCUGAUGCAGCGACGCCGCGUGAGGGAUGACGGCCUUCGGGUUGUAAACCUCUUUCAGCACAGACGAAGCGCAAGUGACGGUAUGUGCAGAAGAAGGACCGGCCAACUACGUGCCAGCCGCCGCGGUAA